GACGAACGCUGGCGGCGUGCUUAACACAUGCAAGUCGAACGAAGAGCGACGGAAGCUUGCUUCUAUCAAUCUUAGUGGCGAACGGGUGAGUAACGCGUAAUCAACCUGCCCUUCAGAGGGGGACAACAGUUGGAAACGACUGCUAAUACCGCAUACGAUCUAAUCUCGGCAUCGAGGAUGGAUGAAAGGUGGCCUCUACACGUAAGCUAUCACUGAAGGAGGGGAUUGCGUCUGAUUAGCUAGUUGGAGGGGUAACGGCCCACCAAGGCGAUGAUCAGUAGCCGGUCUGAGAGGAUGAACGGCCACAUUGGGACUGAGACACGGCCCAGACUCCUACGGGAGGCAGCAGUGGGGAAUCUUCCGCAAUGGACGAAAGUCUGACGGAGCAACGCCGCGUGAGUGAUGACGGCCUUCGGGU
rnacentral:rRNA from 1 species